rnacentral:rRNA from 1 species
AUAGCGUAUAUUAAAGUUGUUGCAGUUAAAACGCCCGUAGUCGAAUUUCAGGAAGGAUAAACUUCGGUUAAUCCAACCUUUAAAUCUACCUGGCCUAGGUUAUUAAUUUAAUUUAGGUCAUUAAAGGUAGAACGUUUACUUUGAAAAAAUUAGAGUGUUCAAAGCAAUUUUUUAUGAAUACAUUAGCAUGGAAUAAUGGAAUAAGUCAGCAACUUAUUUCGUUGGUUUAGAGUUGCAAACAUGAUGAAUAGGGAUGGUUGGGGUCAUUAGUAUUUAAUAGUCAGAGGUGAAAUUCUUGGAUUUAUUAAAGACUAACUUAUG